rnacentral:lncRNA from 1 species
AGGAGGUUGUUGGUAAAGGAUUAGACCGUAGUACUAUAGUGUUAAAAUGUUAGUUUAUGAUUGUCUUUAAAGGGGAUGCCAAAUUCUGGUUCGGGCUUUACGGGAAGCGUAGUUGGCUGAGGGCCAAAGGGCGUUCGUCAAGAUUGAUAGGCGAAGUCAGAGUUUUCUGUGUUAAGGUGGCCAAUGGUGUUAGAAAAUGAUUUUCCACCUUAGGUAUCAGUUAUACAACGAAUGUUUCGUACAAUGUUCCUUUAGUCGUACGAAAAUUGUUUUGUUUCUGUCUGAGGAAGACGAAGCCUAAGAGGCUCGAUAAAGAACCCAUGCAGGGCAUGGAUAAAGAAUGAGACCUGUUAUGUUUACUUUCAAUGUUGCUUUCUAUGACUUGAUCUGAUUGUACAAAGGAUUUUUCGCGUAAGUAACGGGCGACCGGUUUUAUGAAGGUAGUAAAUCGG